rnacentral:rRNA from 1 species
CGGCAACCGCCCAAAUUUGAAAUCUGGCCGCUUGGCGGUCCGAGUUGUAAUUUGCAGAGGACGCUUCGGCGACGGCCCCGGGCCAAGUCCCUUGGAACAGGGCGUCUGAGAGGGUGAGAGCCCCGUGUCCGCCCGGGCCCCCGUCGCCGGGUGAAGCGCCUUCGAC